GUGCCAGCCGCCGCGGUAAUACGUAGGUGGCAAGCGUUGUCCGGAUUUAUUGGGCGUAAAGCGAGCGCAGGCGGUUUUUUAAGUCUGAUGUGAAAGCCUUCGGCUCAACCGAAGAAGUGCAUCGGAAACUGGGAAACUUGAGUGCAGAAGAGGACAGUGGAACUCCAUGUGUAGCGGUGAAAUGCGUAGAUAUAUGGAAGAACACCAGUGGCGAAGGCGGCUGUCUGGUCUGUAACUGACGCUGAGGCUCGAAAGUAUGGGUAGCAAACAGGAUUAGAUACCCUGGUAGUCCAUACCGUAAACGAUGAAUGCUAAGUGUUGGAGGGUUUCCGCCCUUCAGUGCUGCAGCUAACGCAUUAAGCAUUCCGCCUGGGGAGUACGGCCGCAAGGCUGAAACUCAAAGGAAUUGACGGGGGCCCGCACAAGCGGUGGAGCAUGUGGUUUAAUUCGAAGCUACGCGAAGAACCUUACCAGGUCUUGACAUACUAUGCAAAUCUAAGGGAUUAGACGUUCCCUUCGGGGACAUGGAUACAGGUGGUGCAUGGUUGUCGUCAGCUCGUGUCGUGAGAUGUUGGGUUAAGUCCCGCAACGAGCGCAACCCUUAUUAUCAGUUGCCAGCAUUAAGUUGGGCACUCUGGUGAGACUGCCGGUGACAAACCGGAGGAAGGUGGGGAUGACGUCAAAUCAUCAUGCCCCUUAUGACCUGGGCUACACACGUGCUACAAUGGAUGGUACAACGAGUUGCGAACUCGCGAGAGUAAGCUAAUCUCUUAAAGCCAUUCUCAGUUCGGAUUGUAGGCUGCAACUCGCCUACAUGAAGUCGGAAUCGCUAGUAAUCGCGGAUCAGCAUGCCGCGGUGAAUACGUUCCCGGGCCUUGCACACACCGCCCGU
rnacentral:rRNA from 1 species